AGUUAUAAUUAAGGAAUUUUCCUUAUUAUAUAGGAAUAUACUUUUCCAGUAUAUUGUAACCUAGCAGAGGGCCAGUCUGGUGCCAGCAGCUGCGGUAAUUCCAGCUCUGCAAGUUUGCUCCCAUAUUGUUGUAGUUAAAACGCUCGUAGUCUGAAUUAUUUUAAUUUAAAUUUUUUAAAUUAAAAUUUAGUUUUUAUUUUAUAAAAACGUUCACUGUGAACAAAUCAGAACGCUUAAAGUAAUUUUCUUUAUUGAAUGAUUUAGCGCAGUAUGAAAUUUUUACUUUUUAAAUUUUAAUUAAUUUAACAAGUAAUAUCAAAGAGAAUAAUCGGGGAUAGAUCUAUUUCAUGGCGAACAGCGA
rnacentral:rRNA from 1 species